rnacentral:lncRNA from 1 species
GCCCUAGAGCCAACCUAUCAUUCCCAGCCACCUCCAUCUUCUUUCCAAUCCUCUCCCCCGACCUCCCCUGCGCCACCCUACUCCGGGCGACUCAACAGCUUCCCCUAUGCCGCCUCCAUAUUUUUUUCCCCAGCCAUUUUAUCGGCCGACGCAACAUCUCGUGCCUCUCUCAUGUGGUGUUGCUUCUCAAUGUUUCAGCCCCCAACUCUCGAACCCUAGGUGGUCGCCGCUGCUCCUAUCUCCUUCGGUCACCCCAUGGUGCCUCGGAGCCGCUCCGCCGCCUGACUCUCAGUGAGAUCCACCCAGCCAUUUUACUCGAUUGAGAAGCCCGAGGCGCGAGCUCCCCUUUCUCCAAGCCGCCUCAAGUCUGCGAUUUCAAUCCGAAGGUACUGGUUUUUGGUGUCUUCACCAACGUAUCUCUGUCUCUCUCUCUUGUUCUUCUCAUGUGGUGUUGUUUCUCAAUGUUUCAGCCCCCAACUCUCGAACCCUAGGUGGUCGCCGCUGCUCCUAUCUCCUUCGGUCACCCCAUGGCGCCUCGGAGCCGCUCCGCCGUUGACUCCAUCGCUCCGCCGCCUGACUCUCAGUGAGAUCCACCCAGCCAUUUUACUCGAUUGAGAAGCCCGAGGCGCGAGCUCCCCUUUCUCCAAGCCGCCUCAAGUCUGCAAUUUCUCUGCGAUUUCAAUCCGAGGAACUGGUUUUUGGUGUCUUCACCAACGUAUCUUUGUCUCUCUCUCUUGUUCUUUUCUGUCUAUUGUUCUUAGUCGAGUGAGGUAAAUUUUUCAUUCUCUAUGACUAGUUAGGGUUCCCUAAUUAGAAUGGAUGAACUCGUGAACUACGUGGGAAGACGAAUCCAUUACAAUUACUACAGCAAUUAUAUUAUUAUGAACUAUGAGCAAAGUUAUAGAUAUGCAGAGCAUAUUAAAUUAUGUUUGUUUCUUGAACUAGUUGCAUUUGGAAUAUAGUGUGUGUGUGAGUGCAUUGCUUAUGAGAAACUAUUUACCACUGCUCUUUAUCUUAACUCAGGUGAAGCUGCAGAAACUAGGUGUUGUCGUGUCGAUCAUUAGGGAGGAUUACUCGAGGAGGUUGGGGUCUUGUGAUUUUCAAUUACUCGCUAUUGAAUUUGCUAUUAACGUUAGUGAUUCAAUAUUUUUGUCAUUUAAAUUUUGAAAUUUGGUUUCGUUAUCGCCGUGGUUUGGUUAUAUGAGGUGUUUUACCUGGAGAUGAUACAUAAUAUACGUUGUUGAUGGUGUAUGAAUGUAUGAUUGAGUUUCCUGCUGUUUCAAGUGAUGGUUUCAUGUUGUAGAUGCACAUAGCUUAAUUCAUAUUAUAACAAACAAGAACAGUACUUGAGCUAUCUAUACCUUGUUUAAAAAUGAAGGAAGUGCUCCUCUAUAUUACUUGAUAUCGGACUAUGGAAUGGUAUCCUGAUAUGAAUGUGAAGAUGAUUCUUUUAAAGUAUUCCACUUCUCAUUGAUUUGAAUUAAUUCGACUGCAGGUGGUUUUAGGGUAUACUUGUUGUGAUGCUUGUGGAAGAUUGUUUGUUAAGGAAAACUAUUGCCCUCUCUGUAUAAAGGUAAACUUCAAUGCUCAUCACUCAUCAGUCAAUGUCAAAUAGUAUAUAUACAAUAUAUUAUGCCUUUAAUAAAACUAAGUAAUAUGAAAUUUUUGUAAUAAGAAGUGAUAAUAAUCGAAUUCCACAUAUAUGUUAUGUGGUAAUGAAUGAUCAUAUUUUGUCUUUGAUUGUCUUUUAAUCUGUUUGGAAGUUUUGGUUUUUAGUUGCUAUCUAACCAUUUCUUGAUUUUCUCUCCUUCCUUGGGUUUUGCAGGUAAUACGACAAUGCUAGCUUGAAUGCAGAAGGGAGAAAUGCCAUAUGUAGUUGAAAAAGUUGGUAUUCGAAGAACAUUGCAUCUUUAGAAUUUGUUUUUGAAUCUUUUUAUUAGAUUUUGUAAAAUUGUUAGGUUCACAUUUGAGAUUUUGUGCAAGACAUUUUAAAAUUGUAAUGAAUAUUGAUGAUAAUUGAUUAUAUGUAAUUUAUAUUCUCUGUUUAUU